rnacentral:lncRNA from 1 species
GGUCACUUAUACAGCGUCGACUUUAGUGCAUAUUAGGCUGGUAACGUUGGAAAUGUACCGCAGAUCUACUGACACUCCAGGAAGCCGCCGAACGUAGCUGCUUGCGGGUUCGUGCCGUGAAACUGUUUUUCAAAUGCGGCACGGCGUUUCAUUUCCACAUAGAAGGGAAGUCAUUGACGCCCGGAACAAUAUGCGAACUCUUGAAAACGUACGUGGAGUGCGGAAACGUCGCUCUUAAGGACACAAACUGCACCAACGACGAGACUCUGCAGACGCACAUGACGUUUUUCUUGAGUCAGUCAUUGCGAAAACACUCACUGCAUUGCCCUAACAUCACCGGCGACAAGAAAAUGUCGCCGUUCUUGAAAGGUGCUCCAAGAGCGGCUUCCGAAGUUCAGCACUGGGCCAUGGCAAGCAGCGAAUACGGCAAUGCUGAGGAGCAUCACGACGAAGGUAUGUUCAUGAUUCAGCCACAGUGCGCGUCAUGUCAGAAUUCACCAAACAC